UUGAUCCUGGCUCAGGAUGAACGCUGGCGGCGUGCCUAAUACAUGCAAGUCGAGGAACAGACGAGGAGCUUGCUCCUCUGACGUUAGCGGCGGACGGGUGAGUAACACGUGGAUAACCUACCUAUAAGACUGGAUAACUUCGGGAAACCGGAGCUAAUACCGGAUAAUAUAUUGAACCGCAUGGUUCAAUAGUGAAAGCGGUUUUGCUGUCACUUAUAGAUGGAUCCGCGCCGCAUUAGCUAGUUGGUAAGGUAACGGCUUACCAAGGCAACGAUGCGUAGCCGACCUGAGAGGGUGAUCGGCCACACUGGAACUGAGACACGGUCCAGACUCCUACGGGAGGCAGCAGUAG
rnacentral:rRNA from 1 species